rnacentral:lncRNA from 1 species
GGAGAUCUGCAUAAAGUGUAAUUUUUUUUGUCUUUUUCUUUUUAAAAGCAGACCAUCUGCUUGCGUUUCUACUCCUACAGUUUUGAUGCUGUUCAACCAUCUCAUUAUCUUUAUAGCCAAUAGAAAAUUUUCAAUGUAAUAAAUUAAUUCUUAAAAUACUGAUUUAUCAUCAAUAAAAAUACCACGUUCUACUGACGAAAAAUAUUUGCUUAAGUGCAAAGUUCAUAUUUUCUCACACGCACACAUGCACGUAAACUUCAGUAACUCUUUCCUUAUGUAAUUACUCAUUCUCUUCAAUUUUUUUUUUAAAAUAAAUUUCUUUCUCUU